CUAGGGGGCCAUCCCGGCUUACCAACCCGAUGCAAACUGCGAAUACCGGAGAAUGUUAUCACGGGAGACACACGGCGGGUGCUAACGUCCGUCGUGAAGAGGGAAACAACCCAGACCGCCAGCUAAGGUCCCAAAGUCAUGGUUAAGUGGGAAACGAUGUGGGAAGGCCCAGACAGCCAGGAUGUUGGCUUAGAAGCAGCCAUCAUUUAAAGAAAGCGUAAUAGCUCACUGGUCGAGUCGGCCUGCGCGGAAGAUGUAACGGGGCUAAACCAUGCACCGAAGCUGCGGCAGCGACACUAUGUGUUGUUGGGUAGGGGAGCGUUCUGUAAGCCUGUGAAGGUGGCCUGUGAGGGUUGCUGGAGGUAUCAGAAGUGCGAAUGCUGACAUAAGUAACGAUAAAGCGGGUGAAAAGCCCGCUCGCCGGAAGACCAAGGGUUCCUGUCCAACGUUAAUCGGGGCAGGGUGAGUCGACCCCUAAGGCGAGGCCGAAAGGCGUAGUCGAUGGGAAACGGGUUAAUAUUCCCGUACUUGGUGUUACUGCGAAGGGGGGACGGAGAAGGCUAUGUUGGCCGGGCGACGGUUGUCCCGGUUUAAGCGUGUAGGUGUGUGUUCCAGGUAAAUCCGGUUCACUUUAACACUGAGGCGUGAUGACGAGGCACUACGGUGCUGAAGCAACAAAUGCCCUGCUUCCAGGAAAAGCCUCUAAGCAUCAGGUAACAUCAAAUCGUACCCCAAACCGACACAGGUGGUCAGGUAGAGAAUACCAAGGCGCUUGAGAGAACUCGGGUGAAGGAACUAGGCAAAAUGGUGCCGUAACUUCGGGAGAAGGCACGCUGACAUGUAGGUGAAGUGAUUUACUCAUGGAGCUGAAGUCAGUCGAAGAUACCAGCUGGCUGCAACUGUUUAUUAAAAACACAGCACUGUGCAAACACGAAAGUGGACGUAUACGGUGUGACGCCUGCCCGGUGCCGGAAGGUUAAUUGAUGGGGUCAGCGCAAGCGAAGCUCCUGAUCGAAGCCCCGGUAAACGGCGGCCGUAACUAUAACGGUCCUAAGGUAGCGAAAUUCCUUGUCGGGUAAGUUCCGACCUGCACGAAUGGCGUAAUGAUGGCCAGGCUGUCUCCACCCGAGACUCAGUGAAAUUGAACUCGCUGUGAAGAUGCAGUGUACCCGCGGCAAGACGGAAAGACCCCGUGAACCUUUACUAUAGCUUGACACUGAACAUUGAGCCUUGAUGUGUAGGAUAGGUGGGAGGCUUUGAAGUGUGGACGCCAGUCUGCAUGGAGCCGACCUUGAAAUACCACCCUUUAAUGUUUGAUGUUCUAACGUGGACCCGUAAUCCGGGUUGCGGACAGUGUCUGGUGGGUAGUUUGACUGGGGCGGUCUCCUCCUAAAGAGUAACGGAGGAGCACGAAGGUUGGCUAAUCCUGGUCGGACAUCAGGAGGUUAGUGCAAUGGCAUAAGCCAGCUUGACUGCGAGCGUGACGGCGCGAGCAGGUGCGAAAGCAGGUCAUAGUGAUCCGGUGGUUCUGAAUGGAAGGGCCAUCGCUCAACGGAUAAAAGGUACUCCGGGGAUAACAGGCUGAUACCGCCCAAGAGUUCAUAUCGACGGCGGUGUUUGGCACCUCGAUGUCGGCUCAUCACAUCCUGGGGCUGAAGUAGGUCCCAAGGGUAUGGCUGUUCGCCAUUUAAAGUGGUACGCGAGCUGGGUUUAGAACGUCGUGAGACAGUUCGGUCCCUAUCUGCCGUGGGCGCUGGAGAACUGAGGGGGGCUGCUCCUAGUACGAGAGGACCGGAGUGGACGCAUCACUGGUGUUCGGGUUGUCAUGCCAAUGGCACUGCCCGGUAGCUAAAUGCGGAAGAGAUAAGUGCUGAAAGCAUCUAAGCACGAAACUUGCCCCGA
rnacentral:rRNA from 1 species